rnacentral:lncRNA from 1 species
GGCGGGGUAUGGCCACCGUCCCCGGCCCCGGUCUCUGUCUGUGGGGCUCCGGGACCGUCGCCGCCACUCCGCCCGCCCUCCCCCGAGGCGCUCCCGCUGGGGCAGGGCCCACUGGGGGAUGAGCAGCCUCCGGUGUCCCCUCGGCCGCCCGCCGCCACGCUCCGAGGGGGGUCUGGCGGCAGCCGUGCGGACCCGGCUGAGGUGCUAGAGGGCGAUGGACUCGUAGGGGUCUUGGUUCUGGAAAAUAACCUCUAAAUGACAUCCAACCCCACCCCCUUCCCCUCAACGUGAUCGAAUGUGCAGCGAAAAGAAACAAACUUCGUUUUGUUCGAAACGUUUGUUUUUUAGCAUGUGUUGGAGGCAGCAUCUGUCCUGUGUGGCUGACUGAUCUCCGCACCUCAGUAACUUCCACCCUCGUGGUUUUCUGGUACUGAGGCUUGGAAAGACAAAGUGCAUCGCAUGAGGAUAUGUUACAAAGCCCUGAGCUUGAAGAUGGAAAGUGAAGAUGGUCCAUAUCAAACCAACUGGGAGUCCAGAGAAAGCCGCUGCUUCCCCCCAGUCAGCGCCAGCUGGACUUGUCUGUCUUCUGGGUGCCAGGACCUAUAAUUAAUCCUAAGUCUUUCAGCCCAUUCUCAGAGGUAUUAUUUCUUGUUGCUCUCCAACAAACUCUUUCCACAAUAGCCUACACCCUUCUUGAAAUGCAAAGCUCAAAAUUGGAAAGAGAAUACCAGCUGAAGCAUUACCAGAGAAUGUCAACCUAAAGAAGAAAAAGGACAGAGAGACAUUUGAAACAUUACUGGAGAAGGCCUUAGGCAAUCCAACCUCAGUUGGUGUAUAGGAACUGUUGAAUCAUGGCCUGAACCACUGACUGAUAACCUGAGGCAAGCACUGAGUCAGCCACAGGAAUACAGGUGAAGGUAAUUCAGCUGUGUGACCGGAAAUGGUGGAGCCUGGCUGCACUUCUUCUAGACCCCGUUUAAGGGCUGACUGCCCUUAGGAAAGGCUUUCCUUCUGGAGGUUGCUUCUUUUGGAGUUUUUCCAGUGAGCCUAUGACAUGGGUGGCAGCAGAGGGGCAGUCUAACAACGCUUUCUGACAUAGAAGUGUGUAUGAAGCAAAGGUGUGGAACUGAAUACCUCCAUGCAGAAAAAGUAGCACCCAUUGACAUUCAUCAGUGUUUGCUGAAUGUUUAUGGACACCAACCAGUGGAUGUGAGCACAGCGAGGUGGUGGGUACUGCGUUUCAGCAGGGGACAAAAAGGACAGCAAGUCACCUCCACUGUUGCAGAUUUUUUUCCAAUUGCAGCAUGCAGGCUCUUGCUCAUUGCUGGUGAAAAUGAGUAGCCAAUAAUGGUGACUGUGUUGAAAAAGACUGUUUUGUAGCUGAGGAUUAGCUCUAUCAAAUAGUGUUGUUGUGCUCUUUGCAUCUGUUGUAGUUGGAAAAUAAAUAUAAUUUAUUUUAUUAAUUAUAUUAAAUAUGAUUAAUUCCAUGGAAAAUGGAAAUAAAUAUAGGCUCCAGUUUUGAAGCAACCUACAUGAUUGUGAAGUAGGGUGUGGAUAGUAGAUUUUAGAGUUAUCGUCUGUGAUUGCUAUGAUGAUUCAAAUUCAGCCAGUGUGUCUAUGGUUUCCUAAUGAUAUCUUUAGAAAGUCAUCACCUGAUCAUGAAGGCAUACUUAUGUUUGGUAGUGACUGCUU